GGCUUUAUUCUCUCCCCGUUCUGGAGGCUUGAAGUCUGAAAUCAACGUGUUGGCAGGACCACACUCCCUCUGAGGGUCCUAGAGGAGAAUCUGUUCCAGGCCUCUCUUCUAGCCUCUGGGAUUGCCAGCAACCCUUGACAUUCCUUGACUUGUAGAUGCAUUGUUCCAGUCUCUGUCUCUGUGGUCACCUGUUGUUCUCCCUGUGCAUCUUCCUUCUAUGCACGUUUGUUUCUGUGUCUCUUCUCCUUACAAGGACACCAGUCAUAUUGGAUUAGAGCCCACCCCAAUGACCUCAUCCUAACUUGAUUAUACCUGCAAAGACCCCAUAUCCAGAUAAGGUCAAAGUCACAGGUACCAAGGGUUAGGACUUCAACAGCUUUUGGUGGGACACACUUCAACCAUAGCCCUUAGAGUUAGUUAAGAUGAAUCGGAUUCUUUCUGGACCAUGGUAAUUAGAGACCUGGGCAUAUCUAACAGUAACCCAUGUGGUAAGCAAAAGUGUAAUUUGGGAAUGCGUCAUGGGCAAAGUGGCAAUGUCACUGGCCUUCAAAGGACGAGUAGAAUUUUGGUGGUUGGAAGAGAGGAAGCAGAAGAACCUGAGUGAGUAAAGACAAGCAGACUAGAAAGCAGAGGGAAUGUUGAGGGCUGAGGAAUGGCUCAUGAGUGGCUGAGUAGGAGGGAAGAUUUGUAGCCAGGGUAGAGGUGUACUGAUUGCUAGUGUAAGGAAUGUGCACUAGACUCUUGGCACAGUAACUAUAACUGCCCUACAUGUAUCCCUCACCUCUCUUUACCAUUUCCACACCUGAGGUCAGGUGAAGGUGGGGGUAUUGGGAUCUGGCAGGAACUUCUGGGUGAGGCGGCACUGUCUUUGCCCAAGGGCAACACUCUGGAGAAGGUUGCAGGCAGCAGCUGGGAAAUGGGAAACAGAAGGACCCUGUGGGGUCUGGGCGGGCACCCCAGCCUGCGCUACACUAGGGAGAAUUCAGGUGCCAAGGUCCUGGCAGCAGGUGGAACCAAGGCAGUGGAGAUUUGGUACCAAGUCUGGGCUAAAGAUGUGAGCUUGGGAUUCAUCCACACAUGGGACACCUGGGAAUGAGUGAGGUCACCUAGCAGACAUGAAGAGUUCACAGAAAGGGGGCCAGAAGACAGAGAUGGAGAGAAUCCUGAAUUAAGGAAAUCAGUGUGCCUGCACUUGUUUACUUAGGCAGCUUCAGGCGCUAGAUUACCGCCAGCCAGGGUGAAAGCUAGUGCCUUGGGAGUUUCAGAAGAACUAAUCCCCAUCAUUCUUAAGGGACUGAAAACAAGUCACGCUUCUACAUGGCUGAGGCUUUUUUUAAAACGGACCUUUGAGAGACACAGGUCUUUAUUCAAAAGUGACCUGUGUUAGUUCAGAACUCAGGCUCUGGGAUUUGACUCUUGAAUUUUGACUCUAUCACUUAUUUAACUGAGCGACCGUGUGGAAAUUACUUACUUUUUUGAGCUUCCACUCCCCAUCCGUCAAAUGGGAAGAGUAACAUUACUGCCCUAGAAGAGCUGUCAGGAAGAUCAUGAGAUACUGCAUGUAAAGUGCAUGGCACAAUGCUGUGCCUAUAAGAGGAGCUCUAUAAGUGAGUGUCACAUUUAGUCAGGUCCUGUGGCCGCACUCUUCAGAGGGCAGUUGCAAGUCUAGGUUGUCACCUAUGCUUCUAACCUACCUGCUAUUGACUGGAGAGGUUCCAAUGACCCUCUCCUUGGGUUGAAUUAAUUUGCUAGUGGCUCACAGAACUCAGAGAAGCACUUUGCUUACUAGAUUACCAGUGUAUUAUAGAAGGAUAGAACUCAGAAACAGCUAGUUGGAAGAGAUGCAUAGGGAAGGUAUGGGGAAAGGAGGCGGAGUUUCCAUGCCCUCUCUGAGCAAACAUGACGCUUUCCCCAAAUCUCCACGUGCUCCCCAACGUGGGAGCUCUUGAUCCCCUCCUUUCGGGUUUUUAUGGAGGCUUUACCACACAGGCACGGCCAAUUAAAUCAUUGACCUCUGGUGAUUGUACUGGAUCUCCAGCCCCUCUCCCCCCCCCACCCCCCAAGAGGGGGAGGGGUGGGGUAGGACUCAGAGUUCCAACCCUUGAAUCACAAGAAUCACAUGGUGUGUUCUCCUUGCAACCAGCCCCUAUCCUUAGGUGCUGUCCAAAUGUCACAUCAUUAAAAUAACAAAAGACACCUUUAUCACUCUCAUCACUUAGAAAAUUCCAAGGGUUUUAGGAGCUCCAAGCCAGAAAUGGGAGGGGGACAUUUCUUAUUAUAUGCACAUUUCUUAUUAUAAAUCACAAUAUCACACCAUCCCUUGAGGGAGAGGGGAGAGGUGGCACUGAGUUAACUCUUGAGCCACAGAAAAGCUGGGUUGAUAGCAGAAGCUGGGGGAAAGAUCGCGAAAGGGCAGAAAUAACAGAUGUCUGCUUGGGGGAUUGUGAAAUACUGCCUGGUCCUAACAAGCCUAGAUUAGACAGCAGUGUGGUGUGGGUACUAAGACUCCUGGGUGUGUGGACAGAGAAAAAAAGGUCAAAAGAUCAUCAGCCAUUUUACUGUGCUGUUUGGGGAGAAGGCUGUUUCUCUUGAUAAUGAAGAAUAGUAAGAAAGAUAGGGCUCUAUAGUCUGAUAAGUAUAAAUUCAGUACCAAGCUCUACCAGUUACUAGCGCCGAACCUCUCUGACCUUCAGUUUCUUCAUCUGCAAAAUUGGAGUAACGAUACUCACCCUAUAGGAUUAUCACCAAGAUUUGGUGAGGUUGUGUACGUAAAGUAGCCAACAGAGCAUUAACAUAUGUAGCUACAAGAUGAGAAUAGGAGGAGAAGUAUAAGGGCUGAAGGAUACUUUGUUUUUCUGGAGAGGGAGGACAUUUCUCCACUCCAAAUGUGUUCUAUUCUUAUAGCACCUUAUGCAAGGUUAAUAUCCCCAGGAGAGACCCUCAGAUUGGUCAACCUCAAAUGAUGGGGUGGGCCAGGUGAGGCCAGCACACCUUGCUUGACCAGCCCACCAAGAUUGUCCAAAAUGGGUGUGGAGGGUUCCGCAGAAGAAAAUUGGGAUGCUGCUAGGAGAAGAGAGGGUUUGAAUGCUGGGUAGGAAGAGCACCAGUGUGCACUGCAGACAUUCUCCAGUGUAGGGUCCCAGAAAGCCCUGUGAUACUUUGGCCCCCGCCUACGUACCUCCUUGUGCCAGUUUUCUCUACUGGUGGAACCCAGAGAGGAGGAGGUGUGAGUGAUUGUGGCUGACACUGUCCGUAGCCUCCCCUAAGGACCUUUCUCCACCUUCCACGUAGUUGGCAGGACCUUGGUUGAAUUCAAGAGUUCACUGUCCCAUAUUACGAGGGGAACGUUGUUGGCUCUCAUUUGAUUGUGGUAGGUUCACCACCCUUGCUAACAACUGUGGGCAUGUGGCUAUCAUAGCCAGUGGGUUUUAACGGGAUAUCCGCUAGGAGGCUCUUGGAGAGACAUUCCUCCUGGAUAAAAAAAAACCCAAAAACACAUGGAGGAAAACCCUCCGCUCCUUCCGGUACAUGUUAAUGAGUUCCUGUGGCAGCUUCCUUAUAAUUAUGAAGAGCAACGUGUACCUGACGGCGAUGGCAGGACAGAAGGAUGGCAAGAGGCUGAUUCUUCAUCACGCCGUCAUCUGCUGAUACACUUCUUGCAAUGCCUGUCAUCCAAACUAUAUGCAAACAGGGUUUCUGUUACUUGUUGGCAAAGCAUCUGAAUGAUACAUGCCUUUCCACUUCUAAAUCUCUAACAAGGAAGACUUUUAGAUCAGUGGUUCUCCAGCUGUGGUCCCUGAACCAGGAGUAUGAGUAGUCCCUAGAAACUUAGAAAAACCAAUUCUCAGGCCCAUCCUGUCUUCCUGGAUCAGAAAGGAGGAGUGGAAGCAGCAGUUAGCUGUGUUUUAAUAAGCCCUCCAGGUGAUCGUGAUUCAGGAUGGAGUUUGCUGAUCCCUGCUUUAUACACCACUCUGUUGUCAUACUUGUAUUAGAACUAACUACUGGUAGUGAUUUCACACAUUAUUCCUUCCAGUGCACCCGUCCUGUUAUUGCUUCAUUUGAUUCCACCACUAUCCCUAAAAUAAAAAAAAAGAAAAAGAAAAAAGAAAGAAAAAAAAGUACUUGAAAACUAUUGGCCAAAUACACUUUGUGCCCAUCAUUUCAAUUUGCUUAUUUGAGGUCCUCACCUCCUUCCAGACAGUACAUUUAAUUUCUUAGGAAGUCUACAAUAGCUAGAAUGUGGCAGAUAUUUACAAAAGGUUUUAAAAUGCUAAUAAUCUGGGGCGCCCGGGUGGCUCAGUCGGUUAAGCAUCCGACCUCGACUCAGGUCACGAUCUCGCGGCCUGUGAGUUCAAGCCCCGCGUCGGGCUCUGGGCUGAUGGCUCGGAGCCUGGAGCCUGCUUCACAUUCUGUGUCUCCCUCUCUCUCUGCCCCACCCCCGUUCAUGCUCUGUCUCUCUCUGUCUCAAAAAUAAAUAAACGUGGGGCGCCUGGGUGGCUCAGUCGGUUAAGCCUCUGACGUCGGCUCAAGUCACGAUCUCACAGUUUGUGAGUUCGAGCCCCGCGUUGGGCUCUGUGCUGACAGCUCAGAGCCUGGAACCUGUUUCAGAUUCUGUGUCUCCCUCUCUCUCUGCCCCUUCCCUGCUCAUGCUGUGUCUCUCUCUGUCUCAAAAAUAAAUAAACAUUAAAAAUAAAUAAAUAAACGUUAAAAAAAUUAAAAAAAUAAAUAAAAUGCUAAUAAUAUUUAUUAAUAAUGGUCCAUGGAAGUAUCCACUGAGCUUUGGGAAGUAAAUUUAGUAAGGAAGGUUGGGGAUUUGUACAAGGCGCGAGGUAAGCAAAUAGAAAUCAGAGGAGCAAAAGAACUCUGAGAAUCAUAGAUGAGGAAAAGAAUGAAGAAAGUUACUCCAAAAAAGGAAAAAAGAAAAGAAAAAAGAAAAUCAUUCUGGUUAGGACACUAGGUGAAGAUCAUUUGUUUUCUGGGACUCAAUGCAUUUAAACAAACGGGUUCGGGGUGGGGGGUGUCUGGGGAGGUGAUCCAGAUUGGGGAGUGCUAUGAACAAGGCAUCAGGGAAGGAGGCCAUGGGAUGGGUCUGGAAAAGCAGGCAGCCAUGGAUAGAACAGUCCACAGGAUGCCCUGUGUGGGAUUGAGUACCACAGCAAGACUGACCUCUGGCACCACUACCUACUAACUGUGGUCUUGGACUGCUUCCCUAGCUUCUCUAAACCUUAGUUUUCUCAAUAGUCACCAGGCUCAAUAAUACAGGCUUGGUGGGAGGCUUACAUGAACCAACAUACUAUGGACUGAAUUGUGUCCCUCCCACCCCCAUUCACAUGUUGAAGCCCUAACCCUCAGUGUGAUGGCAUUUGGCAGAGGGGCGUGUGGGAGAUAAUUAGGGUUACCUAGGGUCAUGAGAGUGGCUUUAUAAGAAGGAGAAGAGAGCAAGAUCCUGCUCUGUUUCUUCACCAUGCGAGGAUACAGUGAGAAGGCGGUGGUCUGCAAGCCAGGAAAGGUCUCUCUAGAAACUGAGUUGGCCUGCACUUUGCUAUUGGACUUCCAGCCUCUAGAACCAUGAGAAAAUAAGUAUCUGUUGUCGAAGCCACCCAGUCUAUGGUAUUUUGUUAUGGCAGCCUGAGCAGACUAAUACACAGCAUAUGUUAGGGACCUUGCAGGAUGCUUGGCUCAGUGUGAGUGCUCAAUAAAUAAAUAAGAUUCAUGACAAUAAACACAUUAAUAGGCAGUAAGUUUGGAGGAUGAGAUUGCUAAAAUCUUUGAAUGUUAACUAAGUAUAUAAUUUAUUCUGUAGACAAUGGGAAGUUUGUGAGCAGGAAACCAAAAGAGGAAGCUUAUGUGUGCUGAAUCCGAGGUCACUAUGACAAUGGAACAUUAUAUAAGGCAGGAUUGGGCAAACUUUAGCAUCAGAAUCACCUCGAGGGCUUGUUAAAACACAGAUCUAUGCUGCCCUCACUCUCCCUUUCAGAUUCAGUGGGUCUGGGACAGCGUCCAAGCAUUUGCAUUUCAGAUAAGUUCCUAGGCGGUGCAGAUGCUGCUAGACCAGAGACCCCACUUCCAGGGAGGGGGUAAGAGAAAGAGAUCAAAACUAUCGUGACCUCUGGCGUGACUUGCUGCCUGGAAUGGCAGCAGAAUGCUUGCUCUGCAAACGUUCAGUCCACCCUGUGGUAGAUGAUGGAUAACGUAGGUGGUUCGUGGAGCUGCCGGGAGAAAUUGCUACAAGUACGGCAAGCAAUUACGGCAUUGGGUUUCUGUUUCUGUUUUACGGGUAAACCACUAUAAUUAUAAAACUUGCAAAACCCUGACUUAUGAAGUGAGUCGAUACUGGCGUUGGAGAAACACUGCUUUCUGGCCUUCUCCAAGUUAUGGAUUUCUGUUCAGGGGUGGCAAUCUGGCGCCAACUGCUAAAAUGACACACUAGUUGCAGGCUAAUGUCAUAAAUAAUGCCGGUGAAGUUAGUUGAACGGCAGCAUCAUUAAGAUGUUUGUUUGCACGUGGGAUGGUAGGCGUGAGACCGUCCUUCGUGUUAUAUUUUGUGUGACCCUGAAGUGAAUGGUGGCUGUUUCGUCUUUUUUCAUUGCUUCAUAAUAUAUCUGCAACCUCCCCUCAUCUUUCCUGGGAAAACGCUUGUCACCACGAGCUGCACGUGGCCCUGGUCAGGCUGCCACACUCUGUGGUUCUCCCUUCUGGCCACAGGACGGUCACGAGAUUGAGGUCUGACCAAUCACAGAGCCCCAUCCCUCCGGCCCCAGUGAGUGGGCUGAGGAGGCACGUGACCCAGCGCAGCCUAUCAGAAUCCUUCCGUGGGGAUUCGUCCGUGACUGGCAGGGGAGAGAGCCUUCUUUCUCUGAAGGCACGAAGCUGAGGUGAUAGAGAGCAAGAAAAGGGGGUGCCAGUGCAGCAGUGGACGGCCGGUCCUCCCUCCCGCCUCACCUGACGGACACGUGGGUGAGGGAAGCGGGUGCAUCCUUGCCAUGUUCCCUGCCACUUACCUGGACGUGGGGCUGGUCAUCCAGUCAGAGUGAAGCUGGGUGCUCAGCUGGAUGGUUGGGAGAAGGGAAGCUGUUCCAUUCUCCAUGGUGCGGAGGAGAAGCCAUGCAUCCUGGUAGCUGCACACAGUCUUCUCUCCACCAUGAAGGCAGCCAGCCUGGGUACGAAGCCAACAUACUGAGGAAGACAGAGCCAAGAGAAGCUUCAUGCUGGCUCCCCAUCGACCUCUAGAUCAGCUCAAUCCUGCAGUCCCUCCACUGUGGACUUUCCUGGUCCAGGAGCUGAUAAAUUGCUUUAUUUUAAAGCCAUGGUAAAUUGGAUUUUUCUUUUAGUUUACAGCCCAAAGCAUCUUAACUGCUACCCACAAUUUUUCUCAUCAGAUCUCCAUGACAACCCUGUUAUAAGAUGCUUUUAUUCCCCUUUUACAAUUGGAGAAAUACUCAGAAUGGCUGACCUGCUGUUGACUAGCUAGAUAUGGAAGUCUGGUAGAGUGGAUUUAGGAUUCAAUCAUUGGGGUUCCCAUCUUAGGUCUGUUAUGUAGUGGCUGUUUCCUCAUCUGUAAAAUGAAUAUAGUUUUUUUUUUAAAUCUUUUCUCCCGAGGUUGAUAUGGGGAACUGAAUCAAGUAAGAUUCCUUAGGAGGAAGAUUUCAUGACCAUAAAAUGCUGUGCUGGUGCCCCCCUUGCCUACACCUGGAGCCCACUGCUCCCCCCUAGAAAUUCAUGGUCUUUGCAUUAUUUGGGUUAUUGGUUUAACAGGUCUCAGUGCCAGCUUGUUCUCUGAGACAGGUAUAUACUCUGAUUUCUUGUUUGUACUGACAGUUAGCUUAGUACAUCCUUCCUUCAUGACUAGCAAAGAUCUAAAGUCAAACCUAGCCCAUUACCCAAUGUGUUACAAAUGGGAACUCAGCUGUAUGCCCAUAGAGGCUUUAUUUAUCAGUUGGUAGGCUUGUAGCACUCACACAGACACAUAAAACCCCAAUUCCCCUAGUUUGUUGGGUGCACAGGCCUAUACCAUUUUCCAUGAUUGGUUGGUAGAUUUUCCAUGUUCUGUUAGCAUCCCGAAUGUAUGUUUUGCAUCCUCUGCCUUCACAGAUUAAAAGGAUAAACACAUAUCAUUGUGUAAUGUUCUCAUGUUAGGAAUAACUCAGAGGUAAAAGUCCCUGUAGUUCUCAAGGCUAAUGGAAGUGAAAAACUGUUUAUAAAUCACAUAAGAGGGGGAAAAUUUGUCCUUACCAUGAAUAUACUGGACUGCUUUGCCUAAAUGAUUCAGAGGUGAUUUCCUAAAUAUAUUAAUCAUGAGUAAGAAGAAUUGUGUUCAUCUUUGUACUGUUUAUAUUAGAAUAAAGUGUUUGCCAAGCAAGGCUCUAGUUUCAUAAGCACAGUAUACAAGGGGAAAAAUGAAAUAGAUUUAUUCUUGUUAUUUGGGGAGUGUGUAGUUUAUUAUACACACUUUGCUUCUGGCUUUGGAGAAAAUUAUUUAUCUGCAAGUCUUUCCCUUUCAUUUGCCUUGAAUAUAAAGAUUAACUGAUGGUUUAACAAUCUUGUUGAGGCCAUAUUUAUGUAGGGUAGCAUUCUUACUCAUACAACUCCCAAUAUUAAAGUAGUAGCAUUGUUCAUAAAGAUAUGAUGGUAAGGCCUUCAGCCAUAGAAGUGAGAUAUUGUCUCCUGUUAACAACUUCAAAUGAAUAUGAGCAGGAAUUUCUUUUGUAUUAAUUGGCAUGGAAGAGGACAGUGACAACCACUACAAAUUGGAAAACUCAUGCUAGCCAUCACGUUGAGUUCGUUUGAACCUGUCCAAUGCCCACGUGUAUGCAGGUAUGUUUAGAGUGAGCGUCUGUGACUCACCUUGGUUAUCCUCCAGGGCAAAACUAAGCAGUGGGUGUGACAUUGAGUAGUUUGCUUGUUCUCUUCCCUUUGAUCAAGGACCCCUAAAAUAUAUUCAAGGUUGGUAGCAAUGUCCUUGCAGUAGAAGGCAACCUGUUUAUAUUUUCUUCAUCACUGUCAGCUCUGGGGUUCCAAGGAAGAAGAAAUAUAAUCUAGGUUCAAGGAUAACAACCAUUUAGACAUGCAUUCAUCUCUGAAAGAAAACCAAAGUCUCUCAGUUUUGUUUACGAAAUGCUUAAGUAAUUUUUCUCUGCUGCUGGGGGAAAAAAAAACAGCCCACAGCUGGAACCACUUACAACAUAGGUUUGAUUGUUUUUUUGCAAAUUGAACGAUUAAUUCAGGCAAACAACCAAAGAUUUAAUUUAAUUUUAAAUUGAAAGGGAUGGACAGUCAUGCUGACUGAAUUCCUUGCUUGGCGGACUUUGGGGCCAUGGCAAUUAGUUUAGACAAUAUUGUGACUCUAGCAAGUCCACCCUGGGAGGCGGAUCAAGCUCUUAAAAAGUGUUUUUGUACCACUGGCCUGCCUCUCUUUUUAUUAAUGGUUUCCCUGCUUUAAAAUUGAAGACUUGGGAUAAUCUCAGUCCUAAAUCUCUACCCAAGGGCUCUGUGCGUUUGUCUUUACAUUUCACUCCAACCCCAGGGCGACAAGUGAAGUGAAGAAAAAUUGCCAGUAAUCAUGGACAGGAAUUCUUAGAAUUGGGGUUAAACCUCCUGAAGUUGGGCCUAACAUAGGCGCAUAGCAGGUUUGGUCAACUCUUCUGCAUCAGACACUUCCAAGGCUAAGCUGGACUUUGCAUGAGCUAUGGAAGGGCAGGCUAACUAGAAGUGCUAGCCUUGACCAGCCCAAGGAUGAAGCUAAGAAUGACCCAGGUAGUGAAGUCGGACAUGUGCUUCCGUCUUUAUCCAGCAUCUCUUGGUAAAGGAAGCCAGGAUCCCAGCUGCAGGCAGUUCUGAAAAGUACUUUUACCUGAUUACAAAGUCUAAUUGGACAGUGAGGCAGAGAAUAGAGUUAGCAAGAAAAAAGUAAUACUACUGAAGCUGCUCUGAGAGUUUUUUUCUCUCUGGGAAAAGAACUGAAUUGCAUAGAAUGCAGGGGAUUCUAAAACUUUCAAUGAUGUCUUUCCAUUAUUCAAAAACUUUUAUGUCUUUUUUUAAAGUUUUCAUUUAUCUAUUUUGAGAGAGAGGGAGAGGGAGAGAGCAGUGGGGAGGGGCAAAAAGAGAAGGGGAGAGAGAAUCCCAAGCAUCUCUGCACUGUGAGUACAGAGCCCAACAUGGGGCUCAAUUCCAUGAACUGUGAGAUCAUGACCUGAGCUGAAAUCAAGAGUCUGAUGCUCAACCGACUCAGCCACUCAGGGCCCCAAGAACUUUUAUGUUUUAGCAAGUCUGAUUGCUUAAAAUGGUAGUGGGAUUUCACCUCCUGGCUUUGGUCUUUUUUUUGCCCCCCUGUCACUCCUCCCUGCCAUCUUCCUCCCUUCCUCUUUUCCUCUUCUUCCUUCCUUCUUUCCUUCUUAAAAUGAAUCUUCUCGACUGACAUCUGUCUGUGGUUUCCUCACAGGAACAGAUCCAAGUGAAUAUAUGUUACUUAAUGAAUAUAUUUCUAAAAACUGAGACCUAGACAAUGCUGGGCUUGUCACGCUGCCGACCCAUUCUCCUGAAUUUCCACAUCAUCUCCUUUCCUGGACAAAAUGCACCCAACCUUCCAGUUCAAAAAAAAAAAAGUCUCCAUGAAUUUUGUCCUUCCAUUUUGUCACUGUGUGAUGGUGACUGCCUCCCCUGAAAAUCCAUGCCACCUCCAGACCAUUCUUUGUACACUGCCUUUUGGCAAUUGUUUCUCCAAAACUUUCUGUUCAUUACACAAGUAACAUGGAUAACUUGCUUGCUGAAUAAUAAUGAAAUAAUGCAGAAGCAAACAAACCAAAAUGGCCAAAGACUCCAUUACUCCCGGAAGAAAUAACUUCAGAGCUCUGGAUACACCUCCCCAAGAGCCCUUCUGGCUAUGUACACCCUAAUGCAUGCAUAUCUACAUAUUUAUAGAUGCGUUAUUUCAUGUAUACAUAUAUGAAAUGACGCUUGUAUGUCUUUUAACAGCCUUCUUGAGAUACAAGUCUUAUAAUACCCUUUUCUGUUUUUAACCAUAUGAGGUUAAUUCACAUCCUCGCUAACACUUGUUAUUAUCUGUCUUUUUGACGAUAGCCAUUUUAGUGGGUGUGAAGUGGUACCACAGUGUGGUUUUGAUUUAUAUUUUCCUAGUGGCUAAUGAAAUACUAGGCAUUCUUUCUUGUGCUUAUUGGCUAUUUAUAUAUUUUCUGUGGAUCCUUUGUCCAUUUUUUAUGGAUUAUUUGUCUUUUUAUUAUUGAGUUCUAAGAGUUUCUUAUAUAGUUUAGAUACAAGUCUCUUAUAGCAAGCAUUUUCUUCAAUGUUAUGAGUUGAUCCUCUUUAUUUCCUGAUAGUGUCCUUUGAAGCUGUUAACAGUUUUUAGUUUUGAUGAAGUCCACUUCAUCUUUUUUCUUUUGUUACUUGCUUUUGGUGUCAUAUCUUAAUGGGGCUUUGCCUAACCUAAGGUCAUGCAAGUUUCCUUCAUUAUUUUCUUCUACACGUUUUAUAGCUUUGGCUCCUCCAGUUAGAUCUGUAGUCCAUUUGUGCUUAAUUUUUGUGGGAUGCAUAAUGAAAAGGUCCACCUGUAUUCUUUUACAUGCAGUUAUCUAGUUGUCCCAAUAUUUGUUGUAGAGACUGUUUUUUUCCUCUUUAAUUUUCCUCUUUAAUUAUCUUGGCACUGUUGUCAAAAAUCACUUAACCAUAAAUAUAAGGGUUAUUUCUGGACUCUUUUGUAUUUUGUUGGUCUAUAGGUCUUUGCUUAUGCCAGUACCAAAGUAUCUUGAUUACUAUAGCUUUGGAGUAAGUUUUGAAAUUAACCACGAGUCCUUUUUCAAAAGUGUUUUGACUAUUCUGAGUGUCUUGCAUUUCCCUUACAAAUGUUAAAAUCAGCUUGUCAUUUUCUGCAAAAAAAAAAAAAAAAAGCCAGCUGGGAUUUUGAUAGGGAAUCUGCAUAUUUGUUAUCACUUGCUUUUCACUCAACUUGAUUUUUUUUACAUAUAUAAAAAAUGGCAUGCUUGUGUAUAAGCACAAAGUCAAUAUAUGGGAAUUUUGACCCUAUGACCAUCAUUCAGAUCAAGAUUUGGAAUAUUUGCAGCACCUUAGGAGGCUCCCUCGUGCCCCUUUCCAGUCCCUACGUUUCUAUAAAAGCUGCUAAGCUGACAUCUAUCACCAUUGAUUGUUUUUCCUUAAACUUCCUAUAAACCGAAUGAUUUAGUAUGCACUCUGUAGUGAGUGAUGUCUUUCACUUAAACAUACAUGUUGUGGAAUGCCUGAGUAGCUCAAUUGGUUAAGCAUCCAACUUUUGGUUUCAGCUCAGAUCAUGAUCUCACACUUGGUGAAUUUGAGCCCUGUAUCGGGCUCCAUGCUGACAGUGCAGAGCCUCCUUGGGAUUCUCUCUCUCUCUCUCUCUCUC